rnacentral:rRNA from 1 species
UACAGGGGGGGCAAGCGUUGUUCGGAAUUACUGGGCGUAAAGGGCUCGUAGGCGGCCAACUAAGUCACACGUGAAAUCCCCAGGCUUAACCUGGGAACUGCGUGUGAUACUGGAUGGCUUGAAUCCGGGAGAGGGAUGCGGAAUUCCAGGUGUAGCGGUGAAAUGCGUAGAUAUCUGGAGGAACACCGGUGGCGAAGGCGGCGAUCCUGGACCGGUAUUGACGCCUGAUGAGCGAAAGCCAGGGGAGCAAACGGG